rnacentral:rRNA from 1 species
UGCCCAGGAUGAACCCUAACGGCAGGCCUAUCACAUGAAAGUCGAGGGGUAGAGUUAGCUUGCUAACUUGAGACCGGCGCACGCGUGCGUAACGCGUAUGCAAUCUACCUUGUACAGAGGGAUAGCCCAGAGAAAUUUGGAUUAAUACCUCAUAGUAUUAUCAGGAGGCUUCUUUUGAUAAUUAAAGUUCCAACGGUACAAGAUGAGCAUGCGUCCCAUUAGCUACUUGGUAUGGUAACGGCAUACCAAGGCUAUGACGGGGAGGGGUGCUGAGAGGGAGAUCCCCCACACUGGUAAUGAGACACGGACCAGACUCCUACGGGAGGGAGCAGUGAGGAAUAUUGGACAAUGGGCGCAAGCCUGAUCCAGCCUUGCCGCGUGCAGGAAGACGGGCCUAUGGGUUGUAAACUGGUUUUAUACAGGAAGAAACACUGCUAUGUGUAGCAGCUUGACGGUACUGUAGGAAUAAGGAUCGGCUAACUCCGUGCCAGCAGCCGCGGUAAUACGUAGGAUCCAAGCGUUAUCCGGAAUCAUUGGGUUUAAAGGGUCCGUAGGCGGCCUUAUAAGUCAGUGUUGAAUUCUCAUAGCUCAACUAGGAAACUGCCAUUGAUACCGUAGGGCUUGAAUGUUUAGGAAGUAACUAGAAUAUGUAGUGUAGCGGUGAAAUGCGUAGAUAUUACAUGGAAUACCAAUUGCGAAGGCAGGUUACUACUAAAUGAUUGAAGCUGAUGGACGAAAGCGGGGGUAGCGAACAGGACUAGAUACCCUGGUAGUCCACGCCGUAAACGAUGGAUACUAGCUGUUCGGACUUCGGUUUGGGUGGCUAAGCGCAAGUGAUAAGUAUCCCACCUGGGGAGUACGUAAGCAAGUGUGAAACUCAAAGGAAUUGACGGGGGCCGGCACCAGCCGUGGAGCAUGUGGUUUAAAUCGAUGAUACGCGAGGAACCUUACCAGGGCUUAAAUGGGAGGCGACAGAUUUGGAAACAGAUUUUUAU